rnacentral:rRNA from 1 species
UACAGAGGUCUCAAGCGUUGUUCGGAUUCAUUGGGCGUAAAGGGUGCGUAGGCGGCGCGGUAAGUCGGGUGUGAAAUCUCGGAGCUUAACUCCGAAACUGCAUUCGAUACUGCCGUGCUUGAGGACUGGAGAGGAGACUGGAAUUUACGGUGUGGCGGUGAAAUGCGUAGAUAUCGUAAGGAAGACCAGUGGCGAAGGCGGGUCUCUGGACAGUUCCUGACGCUGAGGCACGAAGGCCAGGGGAGCAAACGGG